rnacentral:tRNA from 1 species
ACCCUGAUUAGAAACGAGAACUUUAGCGGACUGUUAAUCCGCAGGUCCCAGGUUCGAGCCCUGGUCGGGGAG